rnacentral:rRNA from 1 species
CUACGGAGGGUGCAAGCGUUACUCGGAAUCACUGGGCGUAAAGGAUGCGUAGGCGGAUAAUCAAGUCAAAAGUGAAAUCCCACGGCUUAACCGUGGAACUGCUUUCGAAACUGGUUAUCUAGAAUAUGGAAGAGGCAGAUGGAAUUAGUGGUGUAGGGGUAAAAUCCGUAGAGAUCACUAGGAAUACCGAUUGCGAAGGCGAUCUGCUGGGACAUUAUUGACGCUGAGGCAUGAAAGCGUGGGGAGCAAACAGGAUUAGAAACCCCGGUAGUCC